GCAUAGGAGCUUGCUCCUGAUGGCGAGUGGCGAACGGGUGAGUAAUAUAUCGGAACGUGCCCUAGAGUGGGGGAUAACUAGUCGAAAGAUUAGCUAAUACCGCAUACGAUCUACGGAUGAAAGUGGGGGAUCGCAAGACCUCAUGCUCCUGGAGCGGCCGAUAUCUGAUUAGCUAGUUGGUGGGGUAAAAGCCUACCAAGGCGACGAUCAGUAGCUGGUCUGAGAGGACGACCAGCCACACUGGGACUGAGACACGGCCCAGACUCCUACGGGAGGCAGCAGUGGGGAAUUUUGGACAAUGGGGGCAACCCUGAUCCAGCAAUGCCGCGUGAGUGAAGAAGGCCUUCGGGUUGUAAAGCUCUUUUGUCAGGGAAGAAACGGUUUUGGCUAAUAUCCAGAACUAAUGACGGUACCUGAAGAAUAAGCACCGGCUAACUACGUGCCAGCAGCCGCGGUAAUACGUAGGGUGCAAGCGUUAAUCGGAAUUACUGGGCGUAAAGCGUGCGCAGGCGGUUGUGUAAGACAGAUGUGAAAUCCCCGGGCUCAACCUGGGAAUUGCAUUUGUGACUGCACGGCUAGAGUGUGUC
rnacentral:rRNA from 1 species